UGGAUAGCUCAGCUGAUAAAGCAUGAGACUCUUAAUCUCAGGGUUGUGGGUUUGAGUCCCAUGUAGGGUGAAAAG